UAGGGAAUCUUCGGCAAUGGACGAAAGUCUGACCGAGCAACGCCGCGUGAGUGAAGAAGGUUUUCGGAUCGUAAAACUCUUUUGUUAGAGAAGAACAAGGACGUUAGUAACUGAACGUCCCCUGACGGUAUCUAACCAGAAAGCCACGGCUAACUACGUGCCAGCAGCCGCGGUAAUACGUAGGUGGCAAGCGUUGUCCGGAUUUAUUGGGCGUAAAGCGAGCGCAGGCGGUUUCUUAAGUCUGAUGUGAAAGCCCCCGGCUCAACCGGGGAGGGUCAUUGGAAACUGGGAGACUUGAGUGCAGAAGAGGAGAGUGGAAUUCCAUGUGUAGCGGUGAAAUGCGUAGAUAUAUGGAGGAACACCAGUGGCGAAGGCGGCUCUCUGGUCUGUAACUGACGCUGAGGCUCGAAAGCGUGGGGAGCAAACAGG
rnacentral:rRNA from 1 species